AACUUCUGGCUCUCGCACACUGCAGUGUACAUUCCUCUGCAGUUAUGGUGCCCUCAGAUUUCCGUACUGCUCUGCAACCAGGAGGAGACACCAUGGCCAGCCUUUCAUCGAUGGGCCGUGCUUACUUCUCCACUUCAGUUAUGGUGCUCUCAGAUUUCCGUACUGCUCUGCCACAGUAAGGGUCCAAGAAUCCAAGCUGCAACCUUUACUUGCUCCACUUUUCUUCAUCCUCCACUCCCCAACAUGCUCUUGUAGAUCAAAAACACACUCUCACAGGGAGGA